AUUUCAUUUGUUGAGAGGAGGGCGUUUCCAAAACUGGUUUACCUUUAAUAUCUGAAACGCGACAUACGGAGUCGCUUGUAUAUUAAAAUGAUUUUUGAAUCUAGACCAUGGAAUAGGGGCUUGCUCCAUCCUGGUCACGGGUUGGCCCGGUAUUGCAGAACUUUCGGGAUCGGCCAACCCCUC
rfam:Strongylocentrotus purpuratus Contig38380_fixed, whole genome shotgun sequence.